UACGUAGGGGGCAAGCGUUGUCCGGAAUCAUUGGGCGUAAAGCGCGCGUAGGCGGCCCGGUAAGUCCGCUGUAAAAGUCCAGGGCUCAACCCUGGAAAGCCGGUGGAUACUGCCGGGCUAGAGUCCGGAAGAGGCGAGUGGAAUUCCUGGUGUAGCGGUGGAAUGCGCAGAUAUCAGGAGGAACACCAAUAGCGAAGGCAGCUCGCUGGGACGGUACUGACGCUGAGGUGCGAAAGCGUGGGGAGCAAACAGG
rnacentral:rRNA from 1 species